UAUUAUCUUGACCAAGUAUUGCCAAUUCUCUUGAGGAGACAUGUUUUACAAUUGACAAAGUUUGACUACAGACUAGCAAAUGAUCUAGACGAAGACAUGCAAAAGUUGCGCUGCAGGGUCAACUAUCAUGCUUUAAGAUUCACAAAGCGGAUACAGUCAGUUGGGAUGAAAGUGGUCAAGAGGAUGAGAAAGAUGGCCAAACGUUUUAUUGCUGUCCACUUGAGAUUUGAGCCUGACAUGCUAGCCUUUUCUGGUU